rnacentral:rRNA from 1 species
UAGAUACCCUGGUAGUCCACGCAGUAAACGAUGAUAACUGGGCGUAUGCGAUAUACAGUAUGCUCCUAAGCGAAAGCGUUAAGUUAUCCACCUGGGGAGUACGCCGGCAACGGUGAAACUCAAAGGAAUUGACGGGGGCCCGCACAAGCGGAGGAACAUGUGGUUUAAUUCGAUGAUACGCGAGGAACCUUACCCGGGAUUGAAAUGUAGAUGACAGGCGGUGAAAGCUGCUCUCCCUUCGGGGCAUCUA